UGCACACCUUUGGGACUAGGCAAGGCCUC
rnacentral:piRNA from 1 species